rnacentral:rRNA from 1 species
CAAUAGCGUAUAUUUAAGUUGCUGCAGUUAAAAAGCUCGUAGUUGGAUUUCGGGUGGGAAUGGCCGGUCCGCCGUUUCGGUGUGCACUUGCUACGCCCACCUUGCUGCCGGGGACGUGCUCUUGAGUUCACGCUCGGGACACGGAGUUGGCGAGGUUACUUUGAGUAAAUUAGAGUGUUCAAAGCAGGCCUACGCUCUGAAUACAUUAGCAUGGAAUAACACGAUAGGACUCUGGCCUAUCUUGUUGGUCUGUAGGACCGGAGUAAUGAUUAAGAGGGACAGUCGGGGGCAUUCGUAUUUCAUUGUCAGAGGUGAAAUUCUUGGAUUUAUGAAAGACGAACUACUGCGAAAGCAUUUGCCAAGGAUGUUUUCAUUAA